rnacentral:lncRNA from 1 species
UUAGGUUGUUUUGCAUUAGAACCCACGAAUACGAUGCAUUGCAUAAUAUGUUGUUGAUGUGGAUGGAUAUUGGAUGAUCCUUAGCCCUCAGUAUGAGAUGAGAUAAUAUGAUAUGAUAUGCCAUGGUAUGAUAUGAGAUAGAAAGACCAGGUCGCCCCUGGUACUAUGUUAUGUAAGCGAACACUAGGUGAGGCCUAAUCGCCCCUGGUGUAGUUGGACAUGU